AUGAUAGCUGGUGAUUUUAAUAAAAUCUUGUACUCUCAUGAAAAAGAGGGUGGCGCGCCGAGGCCAAUGCGCAUGAUGCAAAAUUUCCGUGAUGCUCUUGUUGACUGCGAGAUGGAGGACAUGGGAUGCAGCGGGGAUCUGUAUACUUGGAGGAGGAGGAGACUCAAAGAAUGGCUUGACAUAUCGGUGUGCAAUGGCCAGUUCCUUGGUCUCUUCCCAGACACAAAGGUCACAAAUACUGAUCAUAUAAAGUCGGAUCACACACCCCUUUUCAUUGAUACUGAGGGAGAUGUGCAGGUGGAUUCUUAG
rnacentral:rRNA from 1 species